UCACAGUUUACACUGGCAGUCUCGUUAGAGUUCCCGACAUGACUCGCUGGCAACUAAUGGCAAGGGUUGCGCUCGUUGCGGGACUUAACUCAAUAUCUCAUGACACGAGUUGAUGACAGCCAUGCAGUACCUGUGUCUAGGUUCCCUUUCGGGCACACUCACAUCUCUGCGAGCUUCCUAGCAUGUCAAGGGUAGGUAAGGUUUUUCGCGUUGCAUCGAAUUAAUCCACAUAAUCCACCGCUUGUGCGGGUCCCCGUCAAUUCCUUUGAGUUUUAGCCUUGCGACCGUACUCCCCAGGCGGAGUGCUUAAUGCGUUAGCUGCGUCACCGACAUGCAUGCAUGCCGACAACUAGCACUCAUCGUUUACAGCGUGGACUAC
rnacentral:misc_RNA from 1 species